rnacentral:piRNA from 1 species
UCACACUUUGUGUGCACAGAAACCAAA